UUUUUUUCAUGAUAAUAAUUUAUUGCUUUUAAUGUUUUGUCUAAUUGGAUUAAACUUAAGCGGCAGGUGUGAGGCAAAAGCUGACACGUCGGAUACGGGCAAAUGUCGCUAUUGUUCUGCAGUAAUGGCAGUGACCCCACUUUACUCUCCCCCGUCUCAUCGCUACAGCACGGCCUCACUUAAAUUUACAAUAAAAUUUCUAACUUUUUCUUGUAAUUAAUUUAAUAUACAUAUUAUUUCCAACUAAUAUAUGUAAAAUUUACUCCUAAAUUGAAUUUCUUUUCAUAACUGUAAUUAUUAUAGAUUAUAAUGUUCCCUGAAUAAUGCAUGAAGUUGUUGGCAUGUUGCUUUCUUUGUUGACUAACCAAACAUUUUAAGUCUUUCAUCUUUAUCUCCUUUAAAAUAAUUUAAUUAAAAUUACCAAUCAAUACUACAAGUGUCCUGUAUCUCUUUGAUCCUCUCUUCUUUUGAUCUCCGAGUUCUCUUUCCUUUUCAUUUUUUCCUUCUAAUCUGUCUGAUACCAAUUCUUUCCUUGUGCUUGAGAAUGGAAGAAACUGCUGGGAAUGCUGUUUUAGAAGUUGGAAAGUGCUUAAGUGCUCCGAUUGGCCGUCAGUUUAUGUACUUGUGCAACCACAAAACCAACUUUCACAAUCUUAAAAAAGAAGCUGGAAAGCUGAAGGAUGCAAGAGAUGAGGUGAAGGCUAAGGUUGUUGCUGCUGAAAAUAAUGUGGAAAAGAUCAAACAGACUGUUAAAGACUGGCAGGGGAAUGUGGAUUCCACCAUCGAAGAAACAGACAAGCUGAUUCAAGAGAAAUCAAACAGCAGUUGUUUCAACUUGAUCACUUACUACAAAAAUGGCAGGAAAGCAUGGAAAAAGCUGAACGCUAUAACUGAACUUCUUCAGGAAAAAGUAACAUUUGCUGAGGUUUCUCUUCCUACCGCUCACGAAGUCAUUCGGCUCACUAACAAAGAUUAUGAGGAAUUUGAAUCAAGAAGGUCAGUUUUCAACGAUGUGCUGAAGUCAUUAGAUGAUCCUGAGGUUGGAAUUAUUGGGGUUUAUGGAAUGGGUGGAAUUGGUAAAACUACACUGGUCAAAGAAGUUGGUCAUCAAGCCAAGAAAAACCAGAUCUUGGAUGAGGUGGUUUUCGUAGAGGUGUCUGAUAAACCAGAUACUAAAAAGAUUCAAGAUGAACUUGCGCAGCAGUUAGGUUUGGAAUUAAAGAAGGAGGCUGAACGAGUAAGCAAGUUGUUUGAGAGACUGAAGAAAGGUAAAAAAGUGCUUGUAAUUUUAGAUAAUAUAUGGGCAGAAUUAAAUUUGGAGGCUCUCGGUAUUCCUUGUGGAGAUGACCGUGGGGGAUGUAAAUUAUUGCUGACAGCGAGAGAUCUUACGGUAUUACGGAGUAUGGAUUCUAAGAAUAAUUUCUCGAUGGGUUUCUUAGAGGAAGAAGAAGCUUGGAGCUUAUUCAGGAAGAUGGCAGGUGAUGUUGUUGAUCAAACAAAUAAGCUGAAUACUCUACCGAAUGAUGUGUGCAACGAAUGUCGAGGUUUGCCAAUUGUCAUUACUACAAUAGCAAGAGCAUUAAGGAAUAGGAGACAUCAAUCUCAAUGGAAAGAAGCCUUGCGAGAGCUAAGAAUGCCUUCUCCAACAAAGUUUGUAGGCUUGCUAGAAGAGGAAUAUUCGAAGAUAGCAUUAAGUUACAAUUAUCUAAAAGGUGAUGAGCUUAAGAAAACUCUGCUAAUCUGUAGUCUAAUGAAAAAUAAUACUACCAUUUCAGAUUUGUUUAAACUCAUUAUGGGUUUAGAUAUAUUAAAAGGAGUUAAUCUUACUAUGGAACAAGCACGAAAUAAGCUGGAAAGUAUUGUCUAUGAACUCAAGGAAUCUUGUUUGUUGCUUGAUGAUUCAACCAGUGAAGAGUUUUUCAUGCAUGAUGUUGUUCGUUCAAUUGCCAUAACAAUUGCAUAUAAAGAUCAUCACGUAUUUACAGAGCGAAAUGACAUGGUGAUGGAAUGGUCAGAUAAAGAGCAAUUGAAAAAAUGUACCAAAAUCUCACUAGUUGAUUGUAAUAUGAUUAGUGAGAUUUGGUCUCAAGGUUUGGAUUGUCCAAAACUUGAAUUUUUCAGUACAUGGAUGAAAGGUUCUUUUGAAAUCCCUAAAGAUUUUUUUGUGGGGAUGGGAAACCUCAAGGUUCUAAGUUUCUUUCACCUAGAUGAAUUGUCCUUGCCAACAUCUCUUGGUCUUCUCACAAAUCUUCAAACGUUAUGUUUGGAUUAUGGCACAUUUUCAGAUAUAACAUUCAUUAGAGAGUUGAGAAAACUAAAGAUUCUUAGCUUGCGAAGUUGUGAGAUUGAACAGUUGGCUGAAGAAAUAAGUAAAUUGACUCAAUUGAGGUUAUUAGAUUUAAGUAAUUGUUGGAAACUGAAAGUUAUAGUACCGAAUGUUAUAUCAAGCUUAUCCCGAUUGGAAGAAUUGUAUAUGAGCAGAUGCUCUAUUUUGUGGAAGGUUGAAGUACUUGAGGAGUUGAAGCAUUUAUCCAAAUUGACAACUUUAGAAAUAGAUAUUUCAGAUGAUCAAAUUUUACCAAAAGACUUCUUCUCCAAAAAGUUGGAAAGGUACAAAAUAUCAAUUGGAAAUAGGGCUAUUAAUUUUGGUGGGUCCUACAUAUGUGUUGCUGAUAAGUUCAUAGAGGUUGAAAGUUGUUGGUUUAAUAAGCCUACUUCUUUAACAACGUUGAAACUAAAUCUUAAUUCUUUCAUUUGGCAAGAGGAAUUGCAGUUGUUAUUGAAUGUUGAAUUCUUAUGUUUAGAGAAAUUGCAGGGUAUGAAGAAUGAUCUCUCUGAAUUAGACAAGAAGGGUUUUUCUCAAUUAAAAUAUCUCCAUGUCUAUAAUAAUCCCAACAUCUUGUACAUUGUUGACUCAACAAAGUGUAUACCUCAUGAUGUCUUUCCACUCCUGGAGUCUCUGAUUGUUUUCAACUUGAUUAACUUGGAAAAGAUAUGCUAUGGUCUACCCUCAACAAAGACUUUCUACUACUUAAAAUUUAUAGAAGUAAAAAGUUGUGAUAAGUUGGAAAAUAUCUUCUCAUUCUCUGAUGCUAGCAGAAGCCUUCCACAACUUCAAUUAAUUAAGGUGGAAGAUUGCAAGAACUUGACUGAGAUUUUUGCUAUUGAAAGUAAAAAUAAGUCAGACAAGAAUGAGGUAAUUGAUAAGACUGAAUUUUGUCAAUUACGCUUCUUGACUUUGAUUAAUCUUCCAAGGAUUGCAAGCUUCUACUCAACAUCGCAAAAGACACAGAAAGAAUUGACAAUUAAUUUGGAGUCCAGUGAUAUCGAUUCGCAGGAUGAGGAAAUUGAUACUGUCAUACCAUUUUUUAAAAAAAAGGUUGUUUUCCCUUGUUUGGAAGAAUUAAAACUUGGAGCAAUUAAUUUUGAGAAGAUUUGGAACAACAAACUUCCAACAACCUCUUCUUGCUAUCAAAAUUUGAAAAAAUUGAUUGUGGAUGGUUGUCAAAAACUAAAAUUUGUAUUUCCAUCAUCUAUAAUCAAAAGCUUUGAGCAGCUUCAACAUCUUGAGAUAAGCUAUUGUAAGGAAUUAAAAGAGAUUGUUGCCAAAGAAGAAACUAAGGGUGCUACUACAUUUAUUUUUCUAAGGGUAGCCGUUCUGAAACUCAAAGAAUUGCCAAAGCUUACAACUUUCUACCAUGGUGAACACAACUCAAAUUGGCCCAUGUUAAAGGAGUUGAAGGUGCAGGAUUGUAGCAUACUAGACAUAUUUACUUCAGAACAUAAGAUUAACCUCAGUUUGGAGAAAUUAACCCUAAGCAGAGUGGAUGACAUGAUAACAUUGUUGCAUCAGUUUCCAGAGAACUUUGGUAGAUGUACAAUUGAGAUCAAACAGGAUAAAUCUACCAAUAUUUCAGUUGGCAUCCUUCAGAGAUCGGUUAAGCUGGAAAAACUCAUUCUCAGUGACUGCUCAUAUGAGGAGAUAUUUACAUGUGGAGAGGAUGAGAAACAUACAGAGAUCUUGAUACAAAUAAAAAGUUUGGAGUUGCGUGAUCUUUCUGAUGCAAAGUACCUUUGGGGAAAAGGCUCCAAACUAGACUCUCUUCUUCAAAAUCUUGAAGUUCUAGAAGUAAAUUAUUGUGAUAGAAUGAUAAAUGUUCUGCCAUCCUCAGCAUCUUUUGAGAAUCUAACAGUUCUGAAUGUACAGUGGUGUUAUGGGUUGAUGAACUUACUCACACCUUCAAUAGCGAAAAAAUUGGUGCAGUUGAGAGAAAUGAGAAUUCGCUAUUGCAGAAUAAUGACAGAAAUAGUAUCAAAUAAGACAGAAGAUGUUGCAGCAGAAGAUGAAAUUGUUUUUGGCAAACUGAAGUUGUUGUCACUUGAAGACUUACAAAAUCUCACAUGCUUCUAUUCUGGGAAUUAUGCAUUGAAAUUCCCGUCUUUGGAAGAAUUGACUGUAUAUAAUUGUCCUAUGAUGAAGACUUUCUCUGUAGAAAACUUAAAUACACCAAGUUUACAGAAAGUUCAAUCAGAUUGGUGGGAUAAAGACAAAUGGAGUUGGAAGGAUGACCUAAAUGCAACCAUACAACGACGGUACGAAAAAGAGGUUAACUCCAAGUCAACGAAAUUAACACUAUGUGGAAAAGACGUCAUACUUCUAUGGCAAGACCAACUUCCAGAACAUCAGUUUUCCAAAGUAGAAAUUCUUGAGAUCAUUAAGGAUGAAUCAUCUAACAUUCCAAUUGGAAUCCUUCAGAGAUUUAAUAAUCUCAAAAAACUUGUACUAAAAUUGAGUUCAUAUGAAGAGAUAUUCUCAUGUGAAAAAGAUGAGAAACAUGUAAGCAUGCUCACACAAAUAAAGGAACUAAAGCUACAAGGGCAUUUCAAUUUAGAGUACAUGUGGAAAGAAAAAUCUCAUGUGGACUCAAUUCUUCAAAAUCUUGAAAAGUUAGAUGUGAAGUUUUGCCACAAUUUGAUUAGUAUAGUGCCGUCUUCAACAACUUUUGAAAAUCUCAUAACUCUAAGAGUAUCAUAUUGUGAUGGACUAAUAAACUUAGUAUCCUCUUCAACAGCCAAAAGUCUGGUGCGACUCGAACGAAUGAGUUUGGCAGAAUGUAAAAUGAUGGCGGAAGUAGUAUCAAGUGAGAUGGGUAUAAAAGCCGAGGAAAUUGUUUUUGACAAAUUAAAGCUACUGUCACUUGUUAAUUUAAAAAAUCUCACAAGCUUCUGUGUUGGUAAUUACGUCUUCAAAUUUCCAGCUUUGGAAGAAUUGAUAGUUUGUGAAUGCCACAAUAUGAAGACUUUCUUUGAAGGAGUCUUAAGUGUACCAAGUUUACGAAAAGUAAAACAGGGAUUGUAUGCCGAAUUAGGAUACUGGGAGGGUGACCUUAAUACUACUAUUCAAUUUCUACACAGAAAAAAGUGAAUAUUCAGAGUUCUGGAAGGAUACAGAGCAACUGCAAUGAAAUCUCUGGAAUAAGGCUCUUUUGUUUGUGGUUUGUGAGGCAUUAUUGCGGCUCAAGUUUCCUGUGUUGAGCAAUUCUGGAAUCAGCCUUUCUGUCGCAAAGCUCUCUCCUGGCCACACAGCUUAUCGUUUCUUGGCAAGCUAUCAAAAUGGGAAGUUUGUGCCUGCAUACUGCAAGCUUCCUUGCAUUGAUUUAUUGGAACUUGCAAAGGCAUUUUUGUCCAAGGUCAAAUAUCAGAGCCAAGUUCUAAAUCAAUUACAAUUGAUAUUUUUGUUUAUCUUGUCCAACUUCUGGUUCCAGGUGUUCUGCUCCAGAAUAUAUUGUGGAUCCUCUGCUUCCUUGGUUCCCAGUAGUGUCCUGUCUUUCAAGAACCAACCUCUGCAAUUGCUUACCUGCUGUGCUUGUCAUGGGAUUACGUCUGCUGUAGGUUUCUUCUGCAGGAUCCAAUCCCGGAUAUUCUCUGCUUCUCUUCCCAGAAUUUCUGCCUAGAUACUCUCCUGCUUUCUCUGGUCCAAUGUAGCAGCUCAAAGUUUUUGCUUCCUGAUUUUCACUGCAAUAGAAUCCUGCCUUCCUUCUACUGCAGUCUGUUCCAGAUUUUAUUCUUCUCCAGUGCUCCUUUGCCUUUCCUGAUUGUGCAGCAGUGCUGCCAUUGGGGUGAAAUCCUGCCAAUGUCUAAGCUGCCCAGGAAUAGCAGCAUUGGUCACCUCAUCCUUGCAGUUCUAGUUUUUUUCCCAGGUGCUACAAUUAGACAGAAGCAGGCCUUGCUCUGCAGAUUGUCAGUCAGAAGCAGUUCUUGCCCAGGCCAUUCCAGAAUUUUUCCAGGUGCAGAAAUCAGGCAGAAGCUGAUCAAAUCAUGCAGAUUUUGUGCUGGGCUUCUUUCUCCUGUUUCAGCUGCUGCUUCGGCCAUCUGUGAGACUGCAGUUUUUUUUCUGGAUGUUUGUUGCUCCUCCCUGGUCCUGCAGCAUUUUUGGCAUUAUGCAGGUGUAGGCCUGAGUGACCUGAAUCCUGGAGGAUCUAGAUUGUUGCUGCCUUGGAAGAAAGCACCCUGCUGGUUUAGCCUCAAAAUUAAAGUUUUGGUUUUGAUGAGUAUAGGGUGUUGGCUUCCCUAGAGAGUUGUAAGGAUGUUUAGCUCCCUUAGAACUGAUACAAAUGCUUUUGUUUUUUUGUGUUGUUUGGGUGAGAAUUUUUGUAUAGCAUAGACAAGUUAGUUCAGCAUGCACAUGUACUUGUAAAGUUUAGUGAUGUAAAUGUUUUGUUUGAUUCUCUUCUUAA